rnacentral:lncRNA from 10 species
AGAUAAUACAAAGUCAUGUUAUAAAGAUGGCAUUUCCACAUUUCUUUCUUAAGGUUACUCGAAGGACAUCUUCACAACCAGGCUACUAGAGAGUACAGACAUCUCUGCACAGAGAAAGGUGCCAAGAACUGUGAUUUGUGCUACAGAUACACAGUCUCCUUUCUCAAAGUGUUCUGAGUUCAGUUGGGUUGACAGGCAAGUGAACAGAACAGAUAUUUGCAGUAGGAGGAGAAUGAUAUACUAAAGGACUGCAACCUGGAACAAGGAGAGACAAAGGGAAGGAGGAGUCUGGAGCCAUAUUGAAGAUGAAAUUGAGAUAUGGACUAGGUGGUGGAUCGUUUUUAUAAGAGGACAUAAAAGAGGAUGCUAAAGCUAAUUGCCACAAUCAGAACUCAAAGACCUAGCAAAUGCAAGGUGGUAUUUAUUCUAAACUCAGCAAAGUAGUAGAAAAAUAGUUUUGAGAACAGUUUUAAGGAGACUAGGGUAACAGUGAGAAAAUAGUUCAUGGCUAGUCUGGACUUAGGACUUUAGGGUCGGCCUGGUGAAUUGAAGGGAAGCAGCUGAUACACUCUGGUUGCCUUGUACCCUGGCUUUUGGUGCUUUCCCAUGUGCUGUAGUCAUCAGUAAUCUGGAGGAAAUGCUAUAGAGGCAAAGACACCAUUAGAUGGGUGCUCAACUAGCAAACAGGAUGUGACCACAGAGUAGUUACCCCAAGACCAGGUCAGCAUGACCCAAAAGGCAGAAGAGGACAAGGUUUAUGAGUGUUGGGCUGAGCUCACGCCUGCUUGAACAUCUCAAGAACAAUGUUAAUGAUGGAAGAGAGAGAUAGGAGAGGAAACUCAUUAAACUUGCCAAAUAUGAGAUGUAGCUGGGUUGGCUCUAUGUAAGCAUGGCAGAAAAGCAUUUAGAAGUCAUAAUACAUUUAAAAUAAGAGCUACCAGCAUAGCAGUGACAUGAAGAAGGCAUGUGUUUUGUUAAAAAGUUUUAAAUACUCCUAUAAAAGAUAGUAAGGUACAAGUUGUUUGCUUGAUCAGCAAUGCUAAUUGCCUUUGAAGUGCAUGCCUGGGGAUUCCAUGGAGAGAGGACCCUGUUUCUCCACCCCAACCCAAAUUCACUGAGUUUAUGUCAGAAUGUUCAGAAGCCCCUUUACAAAUUCCUCUGAUUGCCUUGUUAGACACUGGCCACCUCCCUGAACCUGGGCCAAGAUGAGGGUCUACACCUUGGCUUAGUUCUACUAUGAAAGACUUUCCUGCAGUAAAAGUUACCUGUCUGAAACAUUCAGAAGAGUGAAAAUGCCACAUCUCCAAUUUCCAGCAAUAUAUUUGUCUGCCAUGAUUUGGCCUGGAAGCUUAAGCAGGAAGACCACUUGGAGCCAGACUUCAGAGUGAUCUGUCUCUAAGGAAUAACUUUCAUAUUGCAGCGUUCGGUUUUGCAAUUCUUCCUAAGCUACUCUAAAUUCGCAGCAUAAAUCUGCAGAAAGACUUCACCCUCCACAUCAAACCCUUAUAAGGAUCCAUUUCUGCUCUCAUUUUAGAAUAUCUUUUCUAAUAGCUAAAGGCAGACAGAGGCAAACCAAGAAAUCCAGACUUUGCAUCAACGGGUUAAAUCAUAUGUCAAAGGUGCAACCAUAACGUAUUACAAGCUUCUCAUCACAUAAUACAUCACUCAAGAAAAAAUAUUUGGGCAGCUUUUCUAAUUCAUCUUCCUGGUGUUAAAGGAGCACAUCUCCAGUGUUCGUGUCUUCUGUUUCAAUUAAAGCAAUCAUGCCUACUCUUUUAGGAAACUACUAAGGUUUAUUACCUCUUUGUUUCACUGCUAAUAUUCAGCUUCUCCUUGUGGUCUCCCCUUCCAAAUACAUAUUUUUUUCUUUCUAUCCGGUUUUGCUUCUCACCACAAUAUACACUUGUGGCUAUUGUUUGAUAAAAUGGCCACUAUAAAGAUGUAACUUGCUUAACAAAUAUCAGCAAGUGUUUAUGGUUUCCUGUGUACUUGAUGCACUGAGUGGGUGGAAGUGGGUAAGAGAAAGAUGAGGUGGUUCAUGUUCCCAGUAGGAAGAGAGAAUGUCAAUACUCAAAAUAGCUAGAAAACAAUUCACCAUCAGUAUUGAGACAGGCAUUUCAUUACUGUAUGGGUAAUAAUUAAGAAAUUUAAAAUAAAAACAUUGGCCCUCGU